CCUACACAAGAGUAAGGAGAGAGAGAAAUAAUUAUAUACAACUCUUUGGCCAGUCACUUGAUUCCAUGUGUAGGGGUGCCACCGCGCUAGCAUGAAGCAACAAUCCAACAAAAUCUGGUUACACUGAUACAGAUGAUAUUCCAAAUGAAUGGGCUUCGCUGAGUAUUCUCAGAAUAUGAUUUCAAAAGGAAUUCAGCAGAGAAUCAGAAUAUUAUUUUGGUUUAAGAAUGAGCAUUUCAAUGCAACAUCACACCAACACCAGAUCAAAAGGACAAAUAAAAGGAUUGUGACAGAUCACAUGAAAGUGAAGUUUAUUUCUUCAGGGUGCUGCUCACUUUGGAGCUGCUGCUUUUGAACCUCACUUUGCCGGUGCAAUGUCUCAUGCGUCAUGCAGUUCUCUCCUAGAAUCACUCGAAGAUGAAUUCUUUCUAUUUCUUUUUCACAUAUGACCUGAAUUAUCUUCCGAGAGGAAUGUACUUGAGGGGAGAACAGGGGCAGCCUUAAGAAUCAGAUGGCAGUGCCUCUCAAAACUUUUCUUUUUUUCACUGUCUUUUACCCCUCUCUUCACAGGAACAAACAAGGGAUUAAAAGGGAAAGGUAGGAAAACAACAUAACUCAAAAAGCAAAGUGCAAAAGCAAGCAUGGCUCAGCUUGCUUUGAUUCUACUCUCCCCCUCCAUUAGGUCCUUCAAAAGCACAGCAGAAUCAGCCAAAGCAAAAGAAGCGCCAGAACAGAACAAGAAGCAAGAAUACCGCAACAGCGACUGACACAAAUCCUGCUGCUACUUCCCCACAUUAUAAUAUGCGGUCACGUUGCCCAGCCGCAGCGUGGCAUCGCAUUUGCGCCACCCCAUCCCCAUGAGAAGAAGCUCUUAGAAGAUCAGCAGCAGUGCAAGUGUUGUGAAGUGAGGCGGCAGGAGAGAGGAAGGAGGAGGAGGCCGCGGAAGACGACGACGCUGCGCGGCGGCGGCCAGCGGUUGUCAUGAGAAGGCCGGCGGGGUCCGUGAGGCGGGCGGCGGCGGCGGCAUUGGCCAUCUUGUUUGGAGCGCUUGUGUUGAUGGCGUUGGUCAUGGACGACGGCGAGAAAGCGACUCUGCCGGCGAGCGACGCGGCAAUCGGCGGGAGGAGGAUGAUGCUCAGAGCCGAUGGAGAGCAGAGGACUCUACAGGAUUUCAGAGCUGACGAUCCCUUCCAGGACAGCAAGAGGAGGGUGCCUAAUGGCCCUGAUCCCAUCCACAACAGGGGAACCGGCAAGUCCGGGCGAUCGCCAGGCCGAGCAUGACGGUGAUGGCACGCAUGUCGAGGCACGGAAGCUUCCAAAGAGGCAGACAUGUGUGGAGCAUCAAACAGAUGGUGCAUUGCAUUGCAAGGAGGAAGAGGAACAGACAAGAGGUGCAUUGUGGUGGGUCUGGCUGGAAUGUGGGGUGUAACUAGGGGGAGGUGGCCUAUCUUCUUCUAAGCACUGCUAUUUAAGACAGUUUUAAGCAUGAUGAUAACUUUAACUUUUGGGGGGGGGGGGGGGGGGACAAAGGCUAUUCUAUUCUACCAGUGGGAGUUUUUUUUUUGUAAAGAGAGCAGUAAGUAUCAAGCUUCCCUCUCACAUGGAAACAAGCAAGCAUCAAAGAUUCUUGGCAAA